GCGAGAGUGGCGGAAUGGAAGACGCGCUGGACUUAGGAUCCAGUGGGUGAAACCCCGUGCGGGUUCAACUCCCGCCUCUCGCACCA
rnacentral:tRNA from 1 species